UCAACGUUUGCAUACAACUCAAUACAGUUUUAUUGAAAUUCAUAUAAAGGCGUUUAUUUAUAGCUGCUUAACGUUGUGCCAAUACGAGUGCGCUAGGCAAGAAUCAAUUAAUAACUAUAAAAAAGUACUUACAUAAAAAAAAAUCAUAACUACGAGUGGGUAAAAGCAAGUUUAUGAAAUGCGCAUGCGCGCGCACCGUUCAUUCUUGUGCUUACGUAUUUGAUUUAUGGCAACAGGUGUGAAUUGAUAAAGAAAAUACUAUCGUGCAUGACAACAGUCACCGGAAUUACAGACACCAAGCGCAGCUGUUCGGCCAGAUGUGAGGCGUUCGACAGUGGCGGAGGUGUGCAUGGAGGAGGAAUGAGGAGAAAUGAUUUGCAAAAAUUGUCACUUGAGGCACUUCAACCAGACUGGCAUUUCAACCGUUUCACCUACCUACCUAGAGGGAACUGCGCAAUUUCUGGUGGAAGGUUGG